rnacentral:rRNA from 1 species
GACAGAGGUGCCAAGCGUUAGUCGGAAUCACUGGGCUUAAAGCGUGUGUAGGUGGAUGUCUAAGUACCUUGUGAAAUCCCACGGCUCAACCGUGGAACUGCUGGGUAUACUGGAUGUCUUGAGUCAGCUAGGGGCUACCGGAACAAAUGGUGGAGCGGUGAAAUGCGUAGAUAUCAUUUGGAACGCCAAUGGUGAAAACAGGUAGCUGGGGCUGUGCUGACACUGAGACACGAAAGCCAGGGGAGCGAACGGG